rnacentral:rRNA from 1 species
AGUAGCCGCGGUAAUUCCAGCUCCAAUAGCGUAUAUUAAAGUUGUUGCAGUUAAAAAGCUCGUAGUUGAAUUUCGGGAUCAAUUUAUCGGUCGUGCCAAUGGUAUGAACUGGUACAAUUGGUUUCUUCCUUCUGAUAAAGCGUGAUGCCAUUAACUUGGUGUCGCCGGGGAAUCAGAACUGUUACUUUGAAAAAAUUAGGGUGUUUAAAGCAGGCUUAGGCUUGAAUACAUUAGCAUGGAAUAAUGAAAUAGGACGUUUGAUCCUAUUUUGUUGGUUUCUAGGAUCGACGUAAUGAUUAGUAGGGAUAGUUGGGGGCAUUAGUAUUCAAUUGUCAGAGGUGAAAUUCUUGGAUUUAUUGAAGACUAACUACUGCGAAAGCAUUUGCCAAGGACGUUUCAUUAAUCAAGAACGAAAGUUAGGGAUCGAAGACGAUCAGAUACCGUCGUAGUCUUAACCAUAAACUAUGCCGACUAGGGAUCGGAUGAUUGUUAAUUUUUUAAUGUACUCUAUUCGGCGCCU